rnacentral:lncRNA from 10 species
ACCUGGUGCGCGGCUCCGGACCUGGCGACCCACGACCGGCUGGUCACUUGCUGCCACCUCGCAAAGGCGCAUCUCUAGUUCAGUGGCCAUGUGCUCAUUUCCACUUACCUGGCAGGGGAGAGACCGUGGUCACGAAGGGGGUUCUCCCAGAGUGAAGCUUCUUCAUCUCACUCUAGAGUUGCUGAUCCCUGUGAUUUCCUCCAUGUGGGAAACGGUGUUUGUGCUAGAAGAGGCUGCGCUCUUUACCUGACAUAACGGGGUUCAAGACUGACAACGCCUCACGCCCACCCGAAAACGUUUACAUGGCUUCCUUGUCUCUUUUUUUUUCUGUCCUAAAGUCGCCUCAUCUUCACAUCCCCUCUUUUUUUUCUUCCACACUCGAGAGUGUCUCUCUCUCUCAGUAAAAGCUCCACCAAAUAUUUGAAAUAUCUCAA